GGAUUAGAUACCCUGGUAGUCCACGCCGUAAACGAUGAGUGCUAGUUGUUGGAAUCUUUAGGUUUCAGUGACGCAGCUAACGCAGUAAGCACUCCGCCUGGGGAGUACGGUCGCAAGAUUAAAACUCAAAGGAAUUGACGGGGACCCGCACAAGCGGUGGAGCAUGUGGUUUAAUUCGAGGCAACGCGAAGAACCUUACCAGGCCUUGACAUGGUUAGUAUGAUUUUCAGAAAUGAAUUUCUUCAGUUUGGCUGGCUAACACACAGGUGCUGCAUGGCUGUCGUCAGCUCGUGCCG
rnacentral:rRNA from 1 species